rnacentral:rRNA from 1 species
CCUACGGGAGGCAGCAGUGGGGGAUAUUGCACAAUGGGGGGAACCCUGAUGCAGCGACGCCGCGUGGGUGAAGAAGUAUUUCGGUAUGUAAAGCCCUAUCGGCAGGGAAGAAAUUGGACGGUACCUGACUAAGAAGCCCCGGCUAACUACGUGCCAGCAGCCGCGGUAAUACGUUGGGGGCAAGCGUUAUCCGGAUUCACUGGGUGUAAAGGGAGCGUAGACGGCCAUGCAAGCCUGAAGUGAAAUCCCGGCGCCCAACCCCGGGCUUGCCCUGGG